rnacentral:lncRNA from 1 species
CAGCCACUGAUGGGAUGCUACCAGCAGAUUCCUGGGGUGCAGCAGCAGAACAUGUGCCACCCGCAGAUCUUACCCCCAGCUCUACCCACCCACAGCUUAGCUCCGCCGGCAGCGUCCCAGCCCCAGACCUCGCCUGGCACAGUCCCGCAGCUCACGCAGAUAAUGCACCUCGAGUCACAGCUGCCAUAUGGGGCCGAGGGGCAGGCGCUG